CCUACGGGAGGCCGCAGUGAGGAAUAUUGGUCAAUGGACGAGAGUCUGAACCAGCCAAGUAGCGUGAAGGAUGACUGCCCUAUGGGUUGUAAACUUCUUUUAUAUGGGAAUAAAACAGGGUAUGCAUACCCUCUUGUAUGUACCAUAUGAAUAAGGCUCGGCUAACUCCGUGCCAGCAGCCGCGGUAAUACGGAGGAUCCGAGCGUUAUCCGGAUUUAUUGGGUUUAAAGGGAGCGUAGGUGGAUUGUUAAGUCAGUUGUGAAAGUUUGCGGCUCAACCGUAAAAUUGCAGUUGAAACUGGCAGUCGUGAGUACAGUAGAGGUGGGCGGAAUUCGGGGUGUAGCGGUGAAAUGCUUAGAUAUCACGAAGAACUCCGAUUGCGAAGGCAGCUCACUGGACUGCAACUGACACUGAUGCUCGAAAGUGUGGGUAUCAAACAGGAUUAGAUACCCCAGUAGUC
rnacentral:rRNA from 1 species